UCAUUCAUGGCCCAAUUGGUUAGAGCACUCAUUUUAAAAGUGGAAGGUUUUAAGUUCAAACCUUAAUGAAUUCCAUGAU